GGUAGCUACUAUGGUACAAUAUAUGGGGUUCGGACCGCGCUUCUGGUCCAGGUCAGUGUGCAAGUUCUUAGUCCUUCUUACUUCCUUGUUUACAAAGAGAGCCUGAGGGCUGCAAAUAUCCCUCAAGUAGAUAUCACAAUGCGAAUCACACAAGGCGUAAAUGUAAUCCCUCCGUGGUAAGUUGUUCUUGUUCUAUCGGAACAGCCACGUUUCCAUGCAAUCUGGUUAGAUCCCCACACGGACUCAAAUGAUGUAUACCUCAGACAAAUCUAUAUUUCUUUUCUUCAGAUUCCUGAAAAUUUUCUGUGGACAAGA